UCAGGUUUCUAUACAAAAUUAUCAUUAAAAAAAGUCCCUAAAUUUUCCUCUCUUUUGGAAAGGGGACAUCAAACUUGCCCAAAGAUAAAAAUUAGAAGAAAAAUAAUUACCAAGAGUGCUGGAAGGAUGUGAGCUCCAACUUGAGCAAGCUUUUUUCUCACUAGUUCUGAUUCUAAUUUCCCUAGCAUAUGGAUCGGCAUGGUCGGCAUUUAGAUGAGCUAUCUGAACAGGCAGCACAAUACUGCGUUCACAUUAUAGUUAAAAAGAAAUCUGAGUUCUGGUUCCUAACAAGUUAAAUCAUAAUACACUAAAUAGUAUUUAGUGACUCUUGCGACAAAUUCCCAGUAUGGAUUGGAAAGUUCAGCACAGGAUAGGUGAUGUUGAAAAUGGCACAAGUAGUCUUGGAGGUAGGGUUGGGGUCUAUUUAAGCAUGUAGAUGGAGGAAGUGAAAAGGAAGACUGCAUCUUUGUAGACAGAAAAAUAAUGUGCACCAAGGUCAUAAAGCCAGUAACCUUUGGAAACAGGAGGGCAAACCACAAAAAACACUAUUGGACUUGUUCAGGAAGAGAACUUUAAUAUGUGAGGAGAGAUGGUGGAGGCAUACAAUAAACAACAACAACCAAGUUUUAUUUCACUAGGUGGGCUCAACAUUCUCAUUUGUGCUACAUUGGGCUUAUUCUCGUGUUGGAUUAUAAUUGUCUAACACUUCGUCCCAUUGGAGAAGAAAAACAUAACAGAACUAAUUCAAAAGUAGGAAGAACAUAAUGAUUGUUUGUGAGAAAGAAUAUAACAAAAUGAAGAACAUACCAUUACUCUUGAAAGGAUCCGGAUUGAUAUUUAUACUCCUAAAAGUUAAAACAGACAAGGGUUUAAAAAAGGCAGAGGAAUUUUGCCUUGAAACCCUAAUAGCAAAUGCGAUAGCAGUUUGGGACCACAAUAGCGGCCGCUAGAACCACUAUUAUUGACGGUGGCUCGCAGGCCAAAAGCGUCACGCCAUAGCUUGCCAUUGCUACACUAUUCUGCUAUAAUGUGCAAUUGACAACACAGGUUGAUAUAUUGCAAACAAUACACUUUUGUAUUGUAGUUAGUUCCCCUUCUUGCUUUGAUGUCAUGUAAACGUUCAAAUCCAUAUAAAUUAAUGCUCUAUAUAUUUUUA